rnacentral:rRNA from 1 species
UACGUAGGGUGCGAGCGUUAAUCGGAAUUACUGGGCGUAAAGCGUGCGUAGGUGGUUCGUUGUGUCUGUGGUGAAAGCCCCGGGCUUAACCUGGGAAUGGCCAUGGAAACUGGCGAGCUGGAGUCUGGCAGAGGGGGGUGGAAUUCCGCGUGUAGCAGUGAAAUGCGUAGAGAUGCGGAGGAACACCGAUGGCGAAGGCAGCCCCCCUGGGCUAAGACUGACGCUGAGGCACGGAAAGCGUGGGGGAGCAAAC